rnacentral:rRNA from 1 species
GACCCCGUGAACCUUUACUAUAGCUUGACACUGAACAUUGAGCCUUGAUGUGUAGGAUAGGUGGGAGGCUUUGAAGUGUGGACGCCAGUCUGCAUGGAGCCGACCUUGAAAUACCACCCUUUAAUGUUUGAUGUUCUAACGUGGACCCGUGAUCCGGGUUGCGGACAGUGUCUGGUGGGUAGUUUGACUGGGGCGGUCUCCUCCUAAAGAGUAACGGAGGAGCACGAAGGUUGGCUAAUCCUGGUCGGACAUCAGGAGGUUAGUGCAAUGGCAUAAGCCAGCUUGACUGCGAGCGUGACGGCGCGAGCAGGUGCGAAAGCAGGUCAUAGUGAUCCGGUGGUUCUGAAUGGAAGGGCCAUCGCUCAACGGAUAAAAGGUACUCCGGGGAUAACAGGCUGAUACCGCCCAAGAGUUCAUAUCGACGGCGGUGUUUGGCACCUCGAUGUCGGCUCAUCACAUCCUGGGGCUGAAGUAGGUCCCAAGGGUAUGGCUGUUCGCCAUUUAAAGUGGUACGCGAGCUGGGUUUAGAACGUCGUGAGACAGUUCGGUCCCUAUCUGCCGUGGGCGCUGGAGAACUGAGGGGGGCUGCUCCUAGUACGAGAGGACCGGAGUGGACGCAUCACUGGUGUUCGGGUUGUCAUGCCAAUGGCACUGCCCGGUAGCUAAAUGCGGAAGAGAUAAGUGCUGAAAGCAUCUAAGCACGAAACUUGCCCCGAGAUGAGU